GUGAAAUGCUCACAUGUACUAAAAUUGGAACGAUACAGAGAAGAUUAGCAUGGCCCCUGCGUAAGGAUGACAUGUGGAAUAUUACUCAGCUAUAAAAAUGAUU
ensembl:snRNA U6 U6 spliceosomal RNA